rnacentral:rRNA from 1 species
GCGAUCGGUGGAUGCCUUGGCACCAAGAGCCGAUGAAGGACGUUGUGACCUGCGAUAAGCCCUGGGGAGUUGGUGAGCGAGCUGUGAUCCGGGGGUGUCCGAAUGGGGAAACCUGGAAUGUCCGGAGUAGUGUCCGGUGGCCCUGCCCUGAAUGUAUAGGGGUGUGGGUGGUAACGCGGGGAAGUGAAACAUCUUAGUACCCGUAGGA